rnacentral:rRNA from 1 species
UACGUAGGGGGCAAGCGUUGUCCGGAAUCAUUGGGCGUAAAGAGCGUGUAGGCGGCUUGGUAAGUCCGCUGUGAAAGUCCAGGGCUCAACCCUGGAAUGCCGGUGGAAACUGUCAAGCUUGAGUCCGGAAGAGGCGAGUGGAAUUCCUGGUGUAGCGGUGAAAUGCGCAGAUAUCAGGAGGAACACCAAUGGCGAAGGCGGGUCUCUGGGCCGAAAUUGACGCUGAGGAGCGAAAGCGUGGGGAGCGAACAGGA